ensembl:lncRNA
CUCUGAGGGAAACUAAAAUUAAGAAUAUUAUUAAUACUAUAUUAUUAAUCAUUAAUAUUAUGGGAUUGUUAAUCCUAUUAAGAAUAGAAGGAGAAUUCCCUUGUUGUUGAGGCAAGAACUUCAGACUCUGGCUCAUGUUCUCCUCAGUGAGGACAGGAAAUCCUGCCUGAGAAUGUGUGGUAAUUGGCACUCCUGGAAGGAAGAAGAUAAGAGGAAACUCUCCCAUUGAAACAUGAGGCUUCCUUGUCGAGACCUUGCCUUUGAAUCCUGAAUCAUGGUGGCCACAGUCAUCAGGAUGGCCACCCCGCUGGAUUGCCCCAAGUUUGAGUGACCGUUUAUAAGGUACGAGGAAUUACAGGUGAGAAUUCUCUAGGGAGACCCGCACCCUGCUUUCUCUGGAGAGGAGGGGGCUGGCCCUGGAGCUCCCUGCCCAGUUCUGUCUGUGGAAAUGCAGCUGCCAGGAAUCCUGGUUCCAGCUUGGGACAUUAGCUAAUGAACUAAACCAUGACUUUGGUAAAGGCCUCCUUAACUACGACUAACUAGUCUACAGCAGCAACCUGGGGGUGGGACAUCUCUCCUCAAGUCUCUUCCGAAAUCCAUUUCUUCAUCCACUCAGCUGCCAAAGUCGAUGUUCCUAAAGCCCAAAUAUGGCCAUGCUAUGCACCCAUGUAGAUAUAAACUCCAGUGGCUCCCAAUCACCUCCAGGAUCUUUGGGCCCUUAAAGCCCUUUAUUAUCUGGCCAUUUUUACCCUCCCUGUCUUCCUCUAGGUCAGUCCCCUCUCGGAUCCAGCUCCACCGGCUUGUUGCUGUUCUUCACACAAGACAUUCCACCUCCUGAUUGUGGAGAAUGUGCAAUGGUGUCUUCCCAGGCUUAGGACGCUCUUCCCUACUCACCUUUGACUCUUGGCUUUCUUUGGCUUUCUUUAAGACUCAGCUCUAAGUGUUUCUAGUGUUUCUAUUGAGCUUUAAUCCCAAAGAGAUCUUAAAAAAGGGAAAAGGACCCGUAUGUGCCAAAAUGUUUGUGGCAGCCCUAUUUGUAGUGGCUAGAAACUGGAAACUGAGUGGAUUCCCAUCAAUUGGAGAAUGGCUGAAUAAACUGUGGUAUAUGAACAUCAUGGAAUAUUAUUGUUCUGUAAGAAAUGACCAACAGGAUGAUUUCAGAAAGGCCUGGAGAGACUUACAUGAACUGAUGCUGAGUGAAAUGAGCAGGACCAGGAGAUCAUUAUAUACUUCAACAACAAUACUAUAUGAUGAUCAAUUCUGAUGGAUAUGACCCUUUUCAACAAUUAGAUGACUAAGACCAGUUCCAUGAUCUUGUGAUGAAGAGAGCCAUCUGCACUCAGAGAGAGGACUGUGGGAACUGAAUGUAGAUCACAACAUAGCAUUUUCACUCUUUUUGUUGUUUGCUUGCAUUUUGUUUUCUCUCUCUCUUUUUUUUUUUUUUUGAUCUGAUUUUUCUUGUGCAGCAAGAUAAUUGUAUAAAUAUGUUUACAUAUAUUGGAGUUGACAUCUAUUUUAACAUGUUUAACAUAUACUGGAUUACUUGACAUUUGGGGAGGGGGUGGGGGAAAGGAAGGGAAAAUUUGGAAGACAAGGUCUUGUAAGUAAGG